rnacentral:rRNA from 1 species
GACGAACGCUGGCGGCGUGCUUAACACAUGCCAGUCGAACGGAAAGGCCCCUUUGGGGGUACUCGAGUGGCGAACGGGUGAGUAACACGUGAGUAACCUGCCCUUGACUUCGGGAUAACUUCAGGAAACUGGGGCUAAUACCGGAUAGGAAUCCUUGCUGCAUGGUGGGGGUUGGAAAGCUUCGGCGGUUUUGGAUGGACUCGCGGCUUAUCAGCUUGUUGGUGGGGUAGUGGCUUACCAAGGCUUUGACGGGUAGCCGGCCUGGGAGGGCGACCGGCCAAAUUAGGACUGGGAUACGGCCCAGACUCCUGCGGGAAGCAGAAGUGGGGAAUGGUGCACGAUGGGCGGAAGCCUGAUGCAGCAACGCCGCGUGCGGGAUGACGGCCUUCGGGUUGUAAACCGAUUUCAGCAGGGGCGAAGCUUGUGGUGACGGUACCUGCAGAAGAAGCACCGGCUAACUACGUG